rnacentral:rRNA from 1 species
ACUACGGGAGGCAGCAGUGGGGAAUAUUGGACAAUGGGGGGAACCCUGAUCCAGCGACGCCGCGUGAGUGAAGAAGUAUUUCGGUAUGUAAAGCUCUAUCAGCAGGGAAGAAAGAAAUGACGGUACCUGAAGAAGAAGCCCCGUCUAACUACGUGCCAGCAGCCGCGGUAAUACGUAGGGGGCAAGCGUUAUCCGGAUUUACUGGGUGUAAAGGGGGCGCAGACGGCGAUGCAAGCCAGGAGUGAAAGCCCGGGGCCCAACCCCGGGACUGAUCUUGGAACUGCGUGGCUAGAGUGCAGGAGGGGCAGGCGGAAUUCCUGGUGUAGCGGUGAAAUGCGUAGAUAUCAGGAGGAACACCGGUGGCGAAGGCGGCCUGCUGGACUGCAACUGACGUUGAGGCCCGAAAGCGUGGGGAGCAAACAGGAUUAGAUACCCCAGUAGUC